UCAAGUCUAUGCCGAGUCCUUGAC
rnacentral:siRNA from 1 species